rnacentral:rRNA from 1 species
GACGAACGCUGGCGGCGUGCCUAAUACAUGCAAGUAGAACGCACAGUUUAUACCGUAGCUUGCUACACCAUAAACUGUGAGUUGCGAACGGGUGAGUAACGCGUAGGUAACCUGCCUGGUAGCGGGGGAUAACUAUUGGAAACGAUAGCUAAUACCGCAUAAUAUUAAUUAUUGCAUGAUAAUUGAUUGAAAGAUGCAAUUGCAUCACUACCAGAUGGACCUGCGUUGUAUUUGCUAGUAGGUGAGGUAACGGCUCACCUAGGCGACGAUACAUAGCCGACCUGAGAGGGUGAUCGGCCACACUGGGACUGAGACACGGCCCAGACUCCUACGGGAGGCAGCAGUAGGGAAUCUUCGGCAAUGGACGAAAGUCUGACCGAGCAACGCCGCGUGAGUGAAGAAGGGUUUCGGAUCGUAAAGCUCUGUUGUAAGAGAAGAACGGGUGUGAGAGUGGAAAGUUCACACUGUGACGGUAUCUUACCAGAAAGGGACGGCUAACUACGUG